GACGAACGCUGGCGGCGUGCUUAACACAUGCAAGUCGAACGAAGUGGCGAACGGGUGAGUAACGCGUAAUCAACCUGCCCUUCAGAGGGGGACAACAGUUGGAAACGACUGCUACUACCUCAUACUGAAGCAGGGGAUUGCGGUUGCUUCGCUAGUUGGAGGGGUAACGGCCCACCAAGGCGAUGAUCCGUAGCCGGUCUGAGGAGAUGAACGGCCCCAUUUGGACUGAGACACGGCCCAGACUCCUACGGGAGGCAGCAGUGGGGAAUCUUUCGCCAUGGACGAAAGUCUGACGGAGCAACGCCGCGUGAGUGAUGACGGCCUUCGGGUUGUAAAGCUCUGUUAAUCGGGACGCGGUACCGGAAUAGAAAGCAACGGCUAACUACGUGCCAGCAGCCGCGGUAAUUC
rnacentral:rRNA from 1 species